CUGACUGUGUCCUCAGAGUCAAACCUGAAGCUGGUGAAGCAUACGUCUGAAAACAACAAGAUCUUUGGCUUGAACCUCUUGGCUGCUUUCAUCAGCCAGUUCUUCAAAGAGGCCAUGAUGAAGGUCAUGCUGUACGUCGACAUAUAGUUUGGCAACGAGACAGAACAGACACAUUGGCCAAAGAACAAGGUUUCCAAGUAGAUGGAUGACAUUGCAGAGAUUUCCUGGAGGGCUCAGAGCCUGCCCAAGGUGAACAAGAAGAGACAACGAGUGCUGGUCUUCACUCAGGGCAAGGAUGAUAUUGUGGCCACUAUCGGUGAGAAGGUGACCGUGUUCCCUAUCCUGGACAUUGACCAGAGCAACAUCGUGGACACUAACGGAGAAGGAGAUGCCUUUGUGUGAGGCUUUCUGUCUGGAGCUGGUCCUCCAGGAGAGGCCGAUGGAGGAGUGUGUCCGUGGGGGCCACUACGCAGCCAACGAUAUCGUCAGACGGGCAGGAUUUACCUUCCCUGAGACUUCCAUUGAUGCAUCCGACCAUUAUCCCCCAAGCACUGUGCUUUGAUUUCCAUGUAUUUUCCUUAAAACACCUGCUGCAUUAAGCUGUGUGUAUGUGCCUCAAAGUUGUGUAAAGUUUGUGUAUCCCUUAGCCUACAAUUUCCACGCCCCAGCAGAAAUCGAAUUAACAUAAUAAAAAAAUAAGGAAAUCCCGAUUAUAAUCCAUCUGUUCAAGCUAUAUUUAUAUACAUAUAUACA